GCCGCGUUAGCUCAGUGGACAGAGCCACCCCCUCCUAGCGGGUUAGGUCGGCGGUUCGAAUCCGUCACGCGGCUCCA
rnacentral:tRNA from 1 species